GGUGCUUGCACCUCGCCGGCGAGCGGCGGACGGGUGAGUAAUGCAUAGGAAUCUGCCCGGUAGUGGGGGAUAACCUGGGGAAACCCAGGCUAAUACCGCAUACGUCCUACGGGAGAAAGCAGGGGAUCUUCGGACCUUGCGCUAUCGGAUGAGCCUAUGCCGGAUUAGCUAGUUGGUAGGGUAAUGGCCUACCAAGGCAACGAUCCGUAGCUGGUCUGAGAGGAUGAUCAGCCACACUGGGACUGAGACACGGCCCAGACUCCUACGGGAGGCAGCAGUGGGGAAUAUUGGACAAUGGGCGCAAGCCUGAUCCAGCCAUGCCGCGUGUGUGAAGAAGGCUUUCGGGUUGUAAAGCACUUUCAGUGGGGAAGAAAGCCUGUCGGUUAAUACCCGGCAGGAACGACAUCACCCACAGAAGAAGCACCGGCUAACUCCGUGCCAGCAGCCGCGGUAAUACGGAGGGUGCGAGCGUUAAUCGGAAUUACUGGGCGUAAAGCGCGCGUAGGCGGCGUGAUAAGCCGGUUGUGAAA
rnacentral:rRNA from 1 species